rnacentral:rRNA from 1 species
UGGGGUAUAUUGGACAAUGGGCGAAAGCCUGAUCCAGCCAUGCCGCGUGUGUGAAGAAGGUCUUCGGAUUGUAAAGCACUUUAAGUUGGGAGGAAGGGCAGUAAGCGAAUACCUUGCUGUUUUGACGUUACCGACAGAAUAAGCACCGGCUAACUCUGUGCCAGCAGCCGCGGUAAUACAGAGGGUGCAAGCGUUAAUCGGAAUUACUGGGCGUAAAGCGCGCGUAGGUGGUUCGUUAAGUUGAAUGUGAAAGCCCCGGGCUCAACCUGGGAACUGCGUCCAAAACUGGCGAGCUAGAGUAGGGCAGAGGGUGGUGGAAUUUCCUGUGUAGCGGUGAAAUGCGUAGAUAUAGGGGGGAACACCAGUGGCGAAGGCGACCACCUGGGCUCAUACUGACACUGAGGUGCGAAAGAGUGGGGAGCAAACAGG